rnacentral:rRNA from 1 species
AUUGAACGCUGGCGGCAUGCUCUACACAUGCAAGUCGAACGGUAACAGGUCUUCGGAUGCUGACGAGUGGCGAACGGGUGAGUAAUACAUCGGAACGUGCCUAGUAGUGGGGGAUAACUACUCGAAAGAGUUGCUAAUACCGCAUGAGAUCUACGGAUGAAAGCAGGGGACCUUCGGGCCUUGUGCUACUAGAGCGGCUGAUGGCAGAUUAGGUAGUUGGUGGGGUAAAGGCUUACCAAGCCUGCGAUCUGUAGCUGGUCUGAGAGGACGACCAGCCACACUGGGACUGAGACACGGCCCAGACUCCUACGGGAGGCAGCAGUGGGGAAUUUUGGACAAUGGGCGAAAGCCUGAUCCAGCAAUGCCGCGUGCAGGAUGAAGGCCCUCGGGUUGUAAACUGCUUUUGUACGGAACGAAAAGCCUGGGGCUAAUAUCCCCGGGUCAUGACGGUACCGUAAGAAUAAGCACCGGCUAACUACGUGCCAGCCGCCGCCGUAA